ACAACAGACGGAAACGACUGCUAAUACCGAAUAAGUUCCAAGGGCCGCAUGGCCCAUGGAAGAAAAGGUGGCCUCUACCUGUAAGCUAUCGCCUGAAGAGGGGUUUGCGUCUGAUUAGCUGGUUGGAGGGGUAACGGCCCACCAAGGCGACGAUCAGUAGCCGGUCUGAGAGGAUGAACGGCCACACUGGAACUGAGACACGGUCCAGACUCCUACGGGAGGCAGCAGUGGGGAAUCUUCCGCAAUGGGCGAAAGCCUGACGGAGCAACGCCGCGUGAGUGAUGACGGCCCUCGGGUUGUAAAACUCUGUGAUCCGGGACGAAAAGGCAGAGUGCGAAGAACAAACUGCAUUGACGGUACCGGAAAAGCAAGCCACGGCUAACUACGUGCCAGCAGCCGCGGUAAUACGUAGGUGGCAAGCGUUGUCCGGAAUUAUUGGGCGUAAAGCGCGCGCAGGCGGCUUCCCAAGUCCCUCUUAAAAGUGCGGGGCUUAACCCCGUGAUGGGAAGGAAACUGGGAAGCUGGAGUAUCGGAGAGGAAAGUGGAAUUCCUAGUGUAGCGGUGAAAUGCGUAGAGAUUAGGAAGAACACCGGUGGCGAAGGCGACUCUCUGGACGAAAACUGACGCUGAGGCGCGAAAGCGUGGGGAGCAAACAGGAUUAGAUACCCUGGUAGUCCACGCCGUAAACGAUGGAUACUAGGUGUAGGAGGUAUCGACCCCUCCUGUGCCG
rnacentral:rRNA from 1 species